rnacentral:lncRNA from 12 species
AAUCGAUAUAAAGGCAACUGAACUCAAUAAAAUUGGCCACAUGAACCUCGAGUGCCGUGUCCUCUGUCCGUCUCGACUGCGACAGUGGCGCAGGGUGACAGAGGGUUACAACCCACCCCACAAGGAUCCAACCCUCCCUGCCAGCGGGGGGAGUCCUGGGAGGCUGGCAGGGCGUUUCUCCACCUGUCUCCUUGGAAAAGCCCUGGAAAGCUCUGGCUGCUUUGGUUCCAAAGCUGAAGAGCAUCUGCUGCAGGCAGCAGGGAGCAAAGCCGGGUCAGCCCAGGUGAGGAGCCAGCAUAUACAGAGUGCCAAAAAUUGCCAUCACCCGCUCCACCUUGGAAAGCAAUUUGAUGUUUUCACCCCCAGGCAGCAGCUCAGCCUCUCCCUUAGGGGAUUUGGGGCUGCUGUGGGGUGGGUGCCAGCAGGUGGUGCUGGCAGCCUGUCCCAGCACAGUCCUGCAUCCCUGAGAACCCCAAGUGUUCUCUGAGCAUCACCUGGCAUCGCCCAGCAUCUCCUGCGCAUCACCUGAGCCCUGAGAGCACCACUGCACCAUCAACCAGGAUCCCCCAGCACCACCUGGGCAUCCUGUACAUCACCCGAGCAGCCCCAGGACAAAGCUGAGCAUCACUCCCAGCAUGGCCAAGCGUCACCCUGUCACCCAGCACAGCCCAGCAACCCCACAGCCCAGGGAUGGGCUCCCUACAACAGGACCUCCUCCAUUGUUGGGUGGUUUUUUUUCCCUUCAGUGGAAGCGUUAGCAGAGAAGCCAAGGAGGAAAUGGAGGAAGAGCACGUGGAGAUAAGAUAAAAGCCACAUCAACAGCAGGGGAAACAGAGCAGAUACGGGGGGAGACUUGUGGGGGAGAUAAGAGAGCGAGCUGGUGCUGCUGCUGCAGCUCCCCAGCUCACCCCAAAACAGCACAACUGAGGGCUGCACCCCUCACUGAGCCUUCCCGGCGGGUUUCUCAUGCAACCUUUAACAAUUUAUCCCUUCCCAGGCAGGACACUGCUUCCCUGGAAUCCUCUGAAAACCCCCACGAGGGCCUCGGUGCUUCCUUCGCUGCUUGCACCCUUGGAAACAGCUCCCCCACAUCAUUUCCAGCAGUUUUAUCCUCAGGAUAAGUGCUUGGGGUCAUUUCCAAGACAGGCGGUACCAAUUAAGUUAGAUCCAGGGAAAACAGCUCCCUUUGGAUUGAAGAAAACCCCAGGCUGGGUUGUUGUCCUUCCAAAAGGAUCUCUUGGGGGGUGGUGUUUAAAUCCAUCUCCCUGGGAGAUGCUGCGUGGGAGGGCAUCCCUUCCCCGCUAUGAUAGUGUUAGGGGUGGAAAAAAAUCCAGGAUCUUGUGAAUCCUGACGUUUCCCACUGCUUCUUCCCUUUUUCCCCGAAGAUCUGCAACUCCCCGCCGUGAGGAUAUUGUGACACUGGCCCUGCCGUCACCACGGCAUCGGGUGACACCACCGGGCACGAUGCAAUCGCCCUGCUUCACCCAGCCCCGAGCUAAAUUCUGGCUGCAGGGCUGCAAAGCAGGACGAGUGAGCCGGGCACAGGAUUGUUAAAUAGGGCUGAGCUCAUUAAUAGGGAGAGGGGCGCCCUCUCUCCAUGAAAUCCACAGGGACUUUGCCCAACCCGUGCCAUCCCCACACCUGGAACUGCUCUGCUUUUGCUGUCACCAUCAGCCUUUUUUUCCCCUCUGGGAUUAUUCCUCUUGCAGCCGGCGGGGUAGGAGAGGGACAUGUGGGAAUCAGCGCUGGGGGGGGAAUGCUUGGGAGAACCCCAACACAUGCAGCGAGUAAUUCCGAAACCCUACAGCUGGGAAAAGCAGCGGAUGGAAUAAACGCAACCCGUUAUUCCUCUUUCUUAAUAUUAUUUUCACUUUUUUCCCCCCUUCCUCUUUCUCAGGUUUUUUUUUUUUUUUUUUUUUUUUUUUUUUUUUUUGGUUUUUUUUUUUUUUUUCCCCCCUUCCUUAACAGCUUUCAUUAAUCCCAACAGUUGUAAGAUAAGGUUUGCCGUUUGGCCGGCAGGCAGUAAAAGUAAAACCAAACGCAGGGGGAACACGUGCCGCAGCAGCGAAACCUCCCUGAUAAGCUCCGGCGGGAGCCUUAUCCGCGCUCUGGGUGCCCAAAGGACACGGGAGGGCUCCCGCCGCCCCUCGGCCUGCCAAGGCCGCUGGGAACACCUCAGUCUCUUUUUGCUCCGGCAGCUCCGAACAAUGCGCCCGUGUGUGUUAUCAGGCUCCCCGGAAUUUCCUCCUCCCCGGGAUGCGGCGCCCGGAGCCGGAGCCUCUCUCAGCGCAGCCUCCCGCCUCCUCCAUCGCCACGUGAUGCCAAAAAAACAGCCGCCAAACUCCCGGCCAACCCGCAGGAAUCGAGAAAUCCAAGCAUCCUAAACCCGCUGGCACCCACCAACCCCAGCCGGGGUGCUGCGGUGCGGGGGAUGUUCCUGGGGUCUCCCCAAAACCAGCGGAGGCGGAUUCCCCCCGGCCGGCUGCAAUCCCGGUUUCACAAUCGCGGGGACUUUGGGAUCCUGCCGAGGAGCUCACCAGAGCUCACCGGCACGGCUCCCCCAAACCCCGGUCAUUUGGGGGAACAAACAAGAGGCCCCAGCGGUCUCAGCUCCCUCAUUCCACAUCCCGGCCCUUUCCCACAAAGUUUGCAGGGAGCCUUCCCCUGGACCGAGGCAGCUGCUUUUUAGGGCACUAUUCCUACGGAAUGCAUGCACCAACCCACGGCUUGUCUGCGAUUGAAGUCGAACCCCCCCACACCCCCAGGAAUAUUCACUUUUAUUCAAAAACCCCAAAGCUUCACGGAGCAGUGAGAAGUCACCAGAAGGGCUCAGGGAGUGGGUCCCCUUCUAGCUGGAGGAUGAGAAUCCCCCCGAAACGCAGCGAUCCCGUUCCCAUGUCACAUCCAAGGCUGGCCACGGUCACGGCUGGGACCCCCGGGUGCCCGCAGCCCCUGCCAGGACACGAGGUGUGGAUGUGGCAGGGCUGGGUGGCCGUGUCCGUCCUUCUGUCCCCUCCGCACACCCACCGCUUUCGCGUGGGCAACACUCCGGAGACCCCCGAAAUAAACCUCUCGCACGAGCAUGAGCGCACUCACGCUGCGGAUCAGCCGCGUGAUCUAAAGUGUCCAUAAAUGGGUAAAAUCCCGGGAUCCGCUGCCUGCAAGGCGUUUUUCCUCUCCCAAGGAGAGGCAGA